UUAUUUUUAUUGAAAAAGUCUGUGUUUCUUUAAAAUUGUUACCAACUCCCCCCAAAAGUCUCAAUGCACCCUCCAAAACCUAUAGCAACUGCAAAAAAACCCCCCAAAAUGAAGAACAACUGAACCGCUUUUUCUGCGGAAAAAAAGGAAGAAAAAACCAACUUUGAAUGAUUCAAGAGACCAUAUGUUGUGAGAGAAGAUGUGUUCUACGAAAGCGUAUUCGCCAUUCACGCUGACGACAGUCGAGAAUACACAAAACAAAAAAGGAUGUUUGGAGAAAUCUAGAUUUGAUAAGAGAAUGACCUUUGUCAGGCGCACAAAGAAG